rnacentral:rRNA from 1 species
CACGUAGGGGGCGAGCGUUGUCCGGAUUUAUUGGGCGUAAAGAGCUCGUAGGCGGCUCAGUAAGUCAGGUGUGAAAACUCCAGGCUCAACCUGGAGACGCCACCUGAUACUGCUGUGGCUAGAGUCCGGUAGGGGAGCAUGGAAUUCCUGGUGUAGCGGUGAAAUGCGCAGAUAUCAGGAGGAACACCAGUGGCGAAGGCGGUGCUCUGGGCCGGAACUGACGCUGAGGAGCGAAAGCGUGGGGAGCGAACCGG